CCCUGUUUCACAAAGAUAUGUUGUUGGAAGAAGAAGGCGCAACACAGUCUCAGACAGAACAGGACAUGACUGCAAACACUUGAUCCAGAAUUUUGUAACUGGCAUUAUAGAGAAAUCAGUUCUCACUGCAUUGUUGUUAAUAAGUUCAAUGAACUCCUCUUAUGAUGUCUCGGGAACAUCUUCAACUUUGUGAAUGGGCUUCUGGCAAGUCCAAAUGGGGUUUCAGGCAGAUUUGGAAAGUACGAUGAAAUUUCGUCUGCAACUGAAGUUUCAUUUGGAAUGAUAGGAUCUUUUCAGACAAAUCGAGGCAUGUUGCAUUUGGUCCUUGCAGUGAUAAAUUUAA